rnacentral:rRNA from 1 species
GACGAACGCUGGCGGCGUGCUUAACACAUGCAAGUCGAGCGGUAAGGCCCUUUCGGGGGUACGACAGCGGCGAACGGGUGAGUAACACGUGGGUGACCUGCCCUCAGCUCUGGGAGUAAGCCUGGGAAACCGGGGUACUAAUACUGGAUAUGACUCCAUGACGCAUGUUGGUGGGGUGGAAAGCCUUGUGCGGCUGAGGAUGGGCCCGCGGCCUAUCAGCUUGUUGGUGGGGUGAGGCCUACCAAGG